AGAACUGUGAAGCCAACUAUGCGGCAAUGACUGUACCCACAGAUCUGCGAGCCUGAGCGGACUCCUAUGAACCAGUCUUCUCCAGCAAUAGACCCUCCUUCAACUCGUGGUAGCCUGUACGCCAAGGGUGACAGACUGGAAAGCAGGAUCCACCGGUUCAUCUAUGGGAAAAGGAGGGGGAAUGAGAUCAAGGAUUGAGGACGCUAAUGGAGAUGGGGUUUCACCAUGUUGCCCAGGCUGGUCUUGAACUCCUAGACGCAAGUGAUCCACUCGCCUCGGCCUCCCAAAAUGCUGGAAUUACAGAUUCGAGUUCAACAUGAUUGAAGGUGGAAGGUAAAAGGCAGAAGGCACGUGUGAUCCAUUUACCUUGGACAACAAGUACAUGGCCUACAAGGUGUGCACAAUGGCCUCUGGGAACCACGGACAGGGCCAACAUAUAAUCACGGGGCUAUGCAAGGAUCUGCGUCCCGUGCUUACACUGAUGCUGCAACUGAACAG